rnacentral:rRNA from 1 species
UACGUAGGUGGCGAGCGUUGUCCGGAAUUACUGGGUGUAAAGGGCGUGUAGGCGGGAAGGUAAGUCAGAUGUGAAAUACCGGGGCUCAACUCCGGGGCUGCAUUUGAAACUAUCUUUCUUGAGUGCAGGAGAGGAAAGUGGAAUUCCUAGUGUAGCGGUGAAAUGCGUAGAUAUUAGGAGGAACACCAGUGGCGAAGGCGACUUUCUGGACUGUAACUGACGCUGAGGCGCGAAAGCAUGGGGAGCGAACAGG